rnacentral:sRNA from 1 species
AUGCUCUAUUUGGACCGAGUCUUUUCCAUUUUUUUUUUCUUGCUUUCCCUUGCCUUCUCACAGAUCUAGAUCUCUGUUCUGUUCUUCUCGACCUUAUCCUUUAUCGAUCUCAGUUUGUGGUGCCUCGCCGAUUACGGCCUGCUCUGUUCCUCUCAAACCCUUGAAAGCAUCGUCGAUCAGAUCUCUGUUUCAAGUUUAUCCAGUGGAUUUUUGUUUUUCAUUCCACUGCUGUCUCUCGAUUUGUAUUGCCUCUCUGAUUCUGGCUUUGUCCGUGUGUGUCCAACGGUAGAAACCGGCUUAAAUCAAUUUUCUGAGGCUUGGUUCUGCUCCUUGGGUCGCUGACCUGGAGAUUAAAUUAUCAAAAAUUUGGUGUUUUCACGUUACUGAUUCGAAUUGGUCAUUGCUGAGAGGAUCAAAUUGCCAUAAAAUCUGUAACAAAUUUCCAAGUAUACAAGAAGGUUGCUGGGUUGAGUUCGGUUACACAGAUAGCGCCGCAGUGUACCAUACAAAGAAUUUGAAAAAUCUUGAGUUUUUUGGAUUUAAAGCUAUUUGUUCUCAACGUCCAAGGCGCUUUGUCCUCAAGGUAUACCACAGACUACAUCACUCUCCACAAAGGUAUCGUCUAAAUCCUCAAUCACAAUACAACGAUUUAAUGGGGGACAGGGUGGACUUAGCCUCACAAUGGAUGUGGUUCAAAUUUACCUUUGACGAGAAUUGAACCUAAGACUUCUCACUUACAAAUGAAGAGGAAUACUACUAGACUGUAGUACUAAGUAGCAAGAGAGAUGUUGGUAUGCAUGUUAUAUUACAAAAAUUAGGAAUGUUGGUACGCCAUCCUGAAAGAUUGUUUUUUCAAAAGCUAUGGCUCUAUCUCAAGGAGUGUUUUAUGUUUACAACUAUACAAAGUAGGAAAAAAAGUUUGAUCACUCGUGAAUUGAAUCACCCUAAAUUGCAUUAUGAAUUGAAUUGAAUGAAAAUCUAAAGAUGAAGGGAAAGUUUUCAUAAUUUCACUAUGCAAGAUUUCACUAUGCCAGAUU